UACCCGCAGCACAAGUGGUGGUCAUUAUUAUUGGGCCUAAAGCGUCCGUAGCUGGCUUGUUAGAUGCCUGGGUAAAUCGAAUGCGCUUAACGCAUCGAAUUCCGGGUAGGACCGGCAAGCUCGAGACCGGGAGGAGGUGUAGGCUACUCGAGGGGUAGGGGUAAAAUCCUGUAAUCCUUCGGGGAGGACCAGUGGCGAAGGCGCUACACUAGGAACGGCUACUGACAGUGAGGGACGAAGCCCUGGGGA
rnacentral:rRNA from 1 species